GGGAAUAUUGCUCAGCAGUAGAGCACUUGCUUAGCAUGUGCAAGGCCCUGGGUUCCAUUCCCAGUACCCCCC
rnacentral:tRNA from 1 species